rnacentral:rRNA from 1 species
UACGUAGGUGGCAAGCGUUUUUUGUCCGGAUUUAUUUGGGCGUAAAGAGCGUGUAGGCGGCCGCACAGGGUCCGUUUGUGAAAACUGGAGGCUUUAAACCUUUCAGACGUUCGAUGGAAACCGUGCGGCUAGAGUCCGGAAGAGGAGAGUGGAAUUCCUGGUGUAGCGGUGAAAUGCGCAGAUAUCAGGAAGAACACCCGUGGCGAAGGCGGCUCUCUGGGGACGGUACUGACGCUGAGACGCGAAAAGCGUGGGGGAGCGAACAGGG